UACGUAGGGUGCAAGCGUUGUCCGGAAUUAUUGGGCGUAAAGAGCUCGUAGGCGGUUUGUCGCGUCUGCUGUGAAAUCCCGAGACUCAACCUCGGGCCUGCAGUGGGUACGGGCAGACUAGAGUGCGGUAGGGGAGAUUGGAAUUCCUGGUGUAGCGGUGGAAUGCGCAGAUAUCAGGAGGAACACCGAUGGCGAAGGCAGAUCUCUGGGCCGUAACUGACGCUGAGGAGCGAAAGCGUGGGGAGCGAACAGG
rnacentral:rRNA from 1 species